UACGUAGGGAGCAAGCGUUGUUCGGAUUUACUGGGCGUAAAGGGCGCGUAGGCGGCAAUUCAAGUCAGCUGUGAAAUCUCCGGGCUUAACUCGGAACGGUCAGCUGAUACUGCUUUGCUAGAGUGCGGAAGGGGCAAUCGGAAUUCUCGGUGUAGCGGUGAAAUGCGUAGAUAUCGAGAGGAACAUCUGAGGUGAAGACGGGUUGCUGGGCCGACACUGACGCUGACAGCGCGAAAGCCAGGGGAGCAAACGGG
rnacentral:rRNA from 1 species